rnacentral:rRNA from 1 species
GAUGAACGCUGGCGGCGUGCUUAACACAUGCAAGUCGAGCGAGAAACUACAUGCAGACACUUCGGUAGAAGCGAGUAGCGGAAAGCGGCGGACGGGUGAGUAACGCGUAGGCAACCUGCCCUUCACAGAGGUAUAGCCUCGGGAAACCGGGAUUAAAACCGCAUAAAAUCAUAGGUUCGCAUGAACCAAAGGUCAAAGAUUUAUCGGUGAAGGAUGGGCCUGCGUCUGAUUAGCUGGUUGGUAGGGUAAAAGCCUACCAAGGCGACGAUCAGUAGCCGACCUGAGAGGGUGAUCGGCCACAUUGGAACUGAGACACGGUCCAAACUCCUACGGGAGGCAGCAGUGGGGGGAUAUUGCACAAUGGGGGAAAACCCCUGAUGCAGCAAACGCCGCGUGAGGUAUGAAAGGCCCUUUGGGUUGUAAAGCCUUCUGUUCCUAAGGGG